rnacentral:rRNA from 1 species
ACACUCCUACGGGAGGCAGCAGUGGGGAAUUUUGGACAAUGGGCGAAAGCCUGAUCCAGCAAUGCCGCGUGCAGGAUGAAGGCCUUCGGGUUGUAAACUGCUUUUGUACGGAACGAAAAAGCUCCUUCUAAUACAGGGGGCCCAUGACGGUACCGUAAGAAUAAGCACCGGCUAACUACGUGCCAGCAGCCGCGGUAAUACGUAGGGUGCGAGCGUUAAUCGGAAUUACUGGGCGUAAAGCGUGCGCAGGCGGUUAUGUAAGACAGAUGUGAAAUCCCCGGGCUCAACCUGGGAACUGCAUUUGUGACUGCAUGGCUAGAGUACGGUAGAGGGGGAUGGAAUUCCGCGUGUAGCAGUGAAAUGCGUAGAUAUGCGGAGGAACACCGAUGGCGAAGGCAAUCCCCUGGACCUGUACUGACGCUCAUGCACGAAAGCGUGGGGAGCAAACAGGAUUAGAUACCCGAGUAGUCCCA